rnacentral:rRNA from 1 species
CGACGCACACCGGAGGGGUAACCCACUGGUAUGACGGAGCGGCGAACGGGUGAGUAACACGUGAGUAACCUGCCCCACAGACCGGGACAGCCCAGGGAAACCUGGAUUAAUACCGGAUACCCUCGGGGGAUCGCAUGAUCUUUCGAGGAAAUGCCUUUGUGCUGUGGGAUGGACUCGCGACUUAUCAGCUAGUUGGUGGGGUAACGGCCUACCAAGGCGGCGACGAGUAGCUGGUCUGAGAGGACGAUCAGCCACACUGGGACUGAGACACGGCCCAGACUCCUACGGGAGGCAGCAGCAGGGAAUCUUGCGCAAUGGGCGAAAGCCUGACGCAGCAACGCCGCGUGGGGGAUGAAGGCCUUCGGGUUGUAAACCCCUUUCAGGAGGGAAGAAAUUGACGGUACCUCCAAAAGAAGCACCGGCCAACUACGUGCCAGCAGCCGCGGUAAUACGUAGGGUGCGAGCGUUAUCCGGAAUCAUUGGGCGUAAAGAGCUCGUAGGCGGUUCAGCAAGUCGGCUGUGAAAUUUCGAGGCUCAACCUCGAAACUGCAGUCGAAACUGCUGUGACUCGAGUCCGGUAGAGGAGAAUGGAAUUCCCGGUGUAGCGGUGAAAUGCGCAGAUAUCGGGAGGAACACCAGUAGCGAAGGCGGUUCUCUGGGCCGGCACUGACGCUGAGGAGCGAAAGCGUGGGUAGCAAACAGGAUUAGAUACCCUGGUAGUCCACGCCGUAAACGUUGGAUACUAGGUGUGGCGUCCCGAUUAACGGUCGCCGUGCCGAAGCUAACGCAUUAAGUAUCCCGCCUGGGGAGUACGGCCGCAAGGCUAAAACUCAAAGGAAUUGACGGGUCCCCGCACAAGCGGCGGAGCAUGCGGCUUAAU